rnacentral:misc_RNA from 1 species
CCGAGUUAUACAACUCCUCAACCCCUGUGAACAUACCUAUAACGUUGCCUCGGCGGGAAUCAGCCCGCGCCCCGUAAAACGGGACGGCCCCGCCCAGAGGACCCCCUAAACUCUGUUUCUAUAGUUGACUUCUGAGUAAAACAAGCAAAUAAAUCA